UCCCCGCGCGCACGGCACACGGCACCGCCUGAGCCAAUAGGACGCGGCGCCGCAGCAACAGGUGGCCUGCACAAGGCGGGCGCCGCUGCCGCCAUCUUGAGUGAGGGCAGGGGGCGCGCUUCUUUCUCCCAGCCGUGUGUGUGAGGGACUCUGCGUGUCUUGCGGCGUGGGGCAGCUGCGCGCACAGGGGUGGGUGGUCAGAGCAUUAGGGGUGGUAUGGAGCGUCGUGUUUGUGACCUAGCGUUAGAAUCACGGAAACAUUAAGGUUGGAAAAGACCACUAAGUUUAUCUAGUCUAACCGUCAGCCCUCCCCCCCCACGCCCACUGCCCACGUCCCUCAGUGCCACAUCCACACGGCUCCUGAACACCUCAGGGACGGUGACUGCACCACCUCCCUGGGCAGCCUGUGCCACUGCAGCACUGCUCUUUCCUAGAACAUAUUCUUCCUAACAUCCAAUCUGACUCUCAGGUGGCUGUGGAGAGCCAUGAUACCUCCCUUGAUCCUCCUCCAGACUGAACAAUCCCAGUUUCCCCAUCUGCUCCCCGUCAAACUUGUGCUCUAGACCCCUCACAGUUUAAUUGCCCUUCUUUGGACACACUCCAUAGCCUCAACGUCUUCAUUGUAAUGAGGGGCCCAAAACUGAACGCAGUACUUAAAUCCAUAGGCUGGGGGAAAUUGCAAGCACCCCAGGGCAAAGCUGACUUGAUGUAGAGGGCAGGGAAUAUUAGGCAACAGUCAGCCAAAAGUCACCACUGUGUGCCUCAUAGUUCUCUCACUUGCCUGAAGGACAAGCUGUCUGGCCCUUGGUGUGCUGCAAACUGUUCCCAGAACAGGCAGAAGAAAGGAAGCUGAGGGAGGAAAAAAGAAAGCUGUAGCAGUAUUUGGAGAGUUAAGCAGUGUCUGUGUCUCCUUACUUUGGACCUGCAGGAGGAAUUUUCUUAAAACUAUUCUCUUUUUUUCUGGUGCCAGAAAUCUCUUAAAAGACAACUGCACCUUUCCUUGCGUCAUAUUUCUACAGAGAAAAACAGUUUACCUCAUGCUGAACUGCUUUUUCUAACAUAGCUGACCUAGACAAAUGCUUUUCUUACAUAUACAUAUGUAUGUAUAUAUAAACCCUAUAUAUAGGCAAAGCAACAUCAGAAAAAAACUAAUAACUUUGAUAGCUGGAUAUUUUGUGCUGCCUACUGAUUUGCACUGUACAAGGUUUACAGCAGUGACAAUGGCCCUGCUACUUGAAAUAUCACAGUUAUCUAUCUUCUGUCUUUACUUAUCACCACUGGCCUUUUUUUCCCCCAACACAUCAAAGACUUUACACUGAUGAAUUACUAGUCUCAAUUAAUUUUAAUGACAUCUUGCAGAACACAAGGCAAAACAUGUUUGUUUGCUUUCUUUCAGACAUAUGACCUAAUCUUUGGGCAGUCCUGUGUGGAACCCAGAGCCAGACUUGAUCCGUACGGGUCCCUUCCAAAUGGAGUUGCUUCCUGACUUGAGUGGUGACACUUGCAAUUUUGGGGAUGAGCUGUCUGUAUUCUCUACACCAAGAAUUCUGCACCUCUACAGAAACCUCACCAGAGGAACCUGAAUGGAAAUCUGUUGUUACUCUUACUUAAAAACUUUCAGAGAAAAAGCAAAACAUGGCAGCAGUAAAUUUCUAUGAUUGCCAUCUACCAUCUUACUAUUAUAAAAGCCCUUGAAAAACAUUAAUCUGGCCUCUGCAAGUCUAAUGGCAUAAGCCAUCUCCACUUGGUCAUGGUAACCAGGUGUCAGAUUAAUGGAUGAAAAUAAGUUCUUAAUGCUAUUUGUAUCAUAACAUUACCCAAAGCUUAAAUGAGAUCAGUAUCAUAUUAUACCAAGCACUGUAAUACUUCAUGUCAAAGGAUCUGUCUGCCCAAGAACUGUAAAGUUCAGACAACUCAGAGAAAGAAAGCAUUACUGACAUUCUAGAAAUAUAGUGAACAACACCAAUAUGAAAUAAACACUCUCACCACUACCACUCCCUGCUUUAUUCAAUCAUGGAUUUCAGAAGGAAAAUUAAGCCGAAAUUUUCCUAAUGUAAAGGUUUCAGGUCAGAUUCCUCCUCUCUUUUUUUAAUGUAUGAAUGGAAUGGAAUGCAAGCUAUGCUUUUGCCUGAAAGAGUUGGUAAGCCAAGAGAAACGACAACAUUACCACAGUGCUCAGCCUUGAGAAUGGAAUGCAUAUUUAAUGUGGAUGAGAGUAAUUGACGAUAACGAUUUCUCUGAACUCAGAAAAAAAGCGUUCAUGGAAUAAAUCGUUAAAUGCGCACCCACUGCCGUUCAAAUGUUUUAAACAACGCACACUACCAUCUAGUGGCAGAAAGAAAGCAAGAAAGCUUCUCAAAAGGGGUACUUAACAUGUUACACGUAUCUUCACACAAUGCUCACUUCUUAACUGAAAAGCAGAUAUCUAACAAAAAAAUAAAAAUAAAAAUACAA